rnacentral:lncRNA from 1 species
CACUAGGCCCGACAUCUGUUAUGUAGUCCAGCACCUGAGUCAAUUUCUCAAAUCCCCAAGACUUCUCCAUAUGACUGCUGCCCUGCAUGUUCUGCGUUACCUCAAAGGCACACCCUACUUGGGCUUGUUUUAUUCUGAUCAUGCUGAUUUUUCUGUGGCUGGGUAUUCCGAUAGUGACUGGGCUGCCUGCCCUGAUACUAGGCGCUCUGUUACUGGCUUUUGUGUGCUCUUGGGUGGCUGUUUGAUCAGUUGGAAANNNNNNNNNNNNNNNNNNNNNNNNNNNNNGAUAGUGACUGGGCUGCCUGCCCUGAUACUAGGCGCUCUAUUACUGGCUUUUGUGUGCUCUUGGGUGGCUAUUUGAUCAGUUGGAAAUCGAAGAAAUUGCCUGUUGUUUCUCUUUCCUCUGCUGAGGCUGAAUACCGAGCCUUAAGCAAGGUCGUUGCUGAAUUGACUUGGCUCUCUCGCUUGUUGGUUGAUCUUGGGGUUUCUGUUCCAUCACAUGUUUCUGUUUAUUGUGAUAGCAUGGCUGCUGUUCAUAUUGCUAACAAUCCUGUUUUUCAUGAACGCAUGAAACAUAUCGAGGUGGAUUGCCAUUUUGUUCGGGACCUGUUGCUUUCUGGUUUCAUUAAGUUGCUUCACGUGCCCACUUCUCGUCAGCUGGCUGACUUGCUCACCAAGCCUCUGCCGAGAACUUUGCUGGUUCCAUUGCUCACCAAGUUGCAGGUGGUUCCCCCCUCCAACUUGAGGGGGGUGUUGAGAUACAAG